rnacentral:rRNA from 1 species
AUUGAACGCUGGCGGCAUGCCUUACACAUGCAAGUCGAACGGUAACGGGCCUUCGGGUGCCGACGAGUGGCGAACGGGUGAGUAAUACAUCGGAACGUGCCCGAUCGUGGGGGAUAACGAGGCGAAAGCUUUGCUAAUACCGCAUACGAUCUACGGAUGAAAGCAGGGGACCGCAAGGCCUUGCGCGGACGGAGCGGCCGAUGGCAGAUUAGGUAGUUGGUGGGAUAAAAGCUUACCAAGCCGACGAUCUGUAGCUGGUCUGAGAGGAUGAUCAGCCACACUGGGACUGAGACACGGCCCAGACUCCUACGGGAGGCAGCAGUGGGGAAUUUUGGACAAUGGGCGCAAGCCUGAUCCAGCCAUGCCGCGUGCAGGAUGAAGGCCUUCGGGUUGUAAACUGCUUUCGUACGGAACGAAAAGCCUUCUUUUAAUACAGGAGGGUCAUGACGGUACCGUAAGAAUAAGCACCGGCUAACUACGUG